rnacentral:tRNA from 1 species
UUCCUGGUGGUCCAGUGGCUAAGACUCUGUGCUCCCAAUGCAGGGGGCCUGGGUUCAAUCCCUGGUCAGAGAA